rnacentral:rRNA from 1 species
GUCGAACGAUGAUGGGAGCUUGCUCCUGGAUUAGUGGCGAACGGGUGAGUAACACGUGAGUAACCUGCCCUUAACUCUGGGAUAAGCCUGGGAAACUGGGUCUAAUACCGGAUAUGACUCCUCAUCGCAUGGUGGGGGGUGGAAAGCUUUAUUGUGGUUUUGGAUGGACUCGCGGCCUAUCAGCUUGUUGGUGAGGUAAUGGCUUACCAAGGCGACGACGGGUAGCCGGCCUGAGAGGGUGACCGGCCACACUGGGACUGAGACACGGCCCAGACUCCUACGGGAGGCAGCAGUGGGGAAUAUUGCACAAUGGGCGCAAGCCUGAUGCAGCGACGCCGCGUGAGGGAUGACGGCCUUCGGGUUGUAAACCUCUUUCAGUAGGGAAGAAGCGAAAGUGACGGUACCUGCAGAAGAAGCGCCGGCUAACUACGUGCCAGCAGCCGCGGUAAUACGUAGGGCGCAAGCGUUAUCCGGAAUUAUUGGGCGUAAAGAGCUCGUAGGCGGUUUGUCGCGUCUGCCGUGAAAGUCCGGGGCUCAACUCCGGAUCUGCGGUGGGUACGGGCAGACUAGAGUGAUGUAGGGGAGACUGGAAUUCCUGGUGUAGCGGUGAAAUGCGCAGAUAUCAGGAGGAACACCGAUGGCGAAGGCAGGUCUCUGGGCAUUAACUGACGCUGAGGAGCGAAAGCAUGGGGAGCGAACAGGAUUAGAUACCCUGGUAGUCCAUGCCGUAAACGUUGGGCACUAGGUGUGGGGGACAUUCCACGUUUUCCGCGCCGUAGCUAACGCAUUAAGUGCCCCGCCUGGGGAGUACGGCCGCAAGGCUAAAACUCAAAGGAAUUGACGGGGGCCCGCACAAGCGGCGGAGCAUGCGGAUUAAUUCGAUGCAACGCGAAGAACCUUACCAAGGCUUGACAUGAACCGGUAAUACCUGGGAGACAGGUGCCCCGCUUGCGGUCGGUUUACAGGUGGUGCAUGGUUGUCGUCAGCUCGUGUCGUGAGAUGUUGGGUUAAGUCCCGCAACGAGCGCAACCCUCGUUCUAUGUUGCCAGCACGUGAUGGUGGGGACUCAUA